CGGUAAUACGAAGGGACCUAGCGUAGUUCGGAAUUACUGGGCUUAAAGAGCACGUAGGUGGUUAAAAAAGUUGGUGGUGAAAUCCCAGAGCUUAACUCUGGAACUGCCAUCAAAACUUUUUAGCUAGAGUAUGAUAGAGGAAAGUAGAAUUUCUAGUGUAGAGGUGAAAUUCGUAGAUAUUAGAAAGAACACCAAUUGCGAAGGCAGCUUUCUGGAUCAUUACUGACACUGAGGUGCGAAAGCAUGGGUAGCGAAGAGGAUUAGAUACCCUCGUAGUCCAUGCCGUAAACGAUGUGUGCUAGACGUUGGAAAUUUAUUUUCAGUGUCGCAGCGAAAGCGUUAAGCACACCGCCUGGGGAGUACGACCGCAAGGUUAAAACUCAAAUGAAUUGACGGGGACCCGCACAAGCAGUGGAGCAUGUGGUUUAAUUCGAAGAUACGCGCAGAACCUUACCAACACUUGACAUGUUCGUCGCGACUUUAAGAGAUUAAAGUCUUCGGUUCGGCCGGACGAAACACAGGUGCUGCAUGGCUGUCGUCAGCUCGUGUCGUGAGAUGUUGGGUUAAGUCCCGCAACGAGCGCAACCCUUACUUUUAGUUGCCAUCAUUUAGUUGGGCACUCUGAAAGAACUGCCAGUGAUAAGCUGGAGGAAGGUGGGGAUGACGUCAAGUCCUCAUGGCCCUUACGUGUUGGGCUACACACGUGCUACAAUGGCAUUUACAAUAGGAAGCAAGAUGGCGACAUCAAGCAAAUCCUAAAAAAAUGCCUCAGUUCGGAUUGUACUCUGCAACUCGAGUACAUGAAGCUGGAAUUGCUAGUAAUCGCGGAUCAGCGCGCCGCGGUGAAUACGUUCCCGGG
rnacentral:rRNA from 1 species